rnacentral:lncRNA from 1 species
GUGAAUGUAGAUUGGUUCAUGAGUCAUUGGUUAGGGGUUGGUGACAUAUGCUAUAGUAUUGUUAUUAUCUUUAGGAUUAGAUUUGAAAUCUUAUCUUUGUUUUUUUUUUCUUUUUCAAAUUGACCUAUGUAUGUUUAGUAACUAUCUAAUAAUUUGAUUUAAACACUUUCUAAGUUUUUUUAAGUUUAAAAAAGUUUUUUUGCAUAGUUAUUUGAUUUUAGGGUCUAGAAGACUCACAUAAAACUUAAAAAGAAGUAUUCCGACACAUCCGCCUAAAUUUAAGUAAAAUUUAGGGUUCACGCCUAAAUUGUGGAAUAAUUUAGGUUUCCCGCCUAAAUCAAAGUCUUCCAUAAGUCUUCCAUGAGUCUUACAUAAGUCUUCAAUGAGUGUUCCAUAAGUCUUCAAGAAGUCUUCUGGAUCGAAAGUAUUUAACCUAAUU